rnacentral:rRNA from 1 species
AACGUAGGAGACAAACGUUAUCCGGAGUUACUGGGCGUAAAGGGCGUGUAGGUGGUUUCGUAAGUCUGGCGUGAAAUAUCUCGGCUUAACCGAGGCAGGUCGUCGGAUACUGCGGAACUAGAGGACGGUAGAGGCGUGUGGAAUUCCGGGUGUAGUGGUGAAAUGCGUAGAGAUCCGGAGGAACACCAGUGGCGAAGGCGACACGCUGGGCCGUACCUGACGCUGAGACGCGAAAGCGUGGGGGGCGAACCGG